CCUCAGGUGCUCUCCUUCCCUAUAAAUCUCUGAAAAAGAGAAUGAAAUGAAAAGAAAAAAAAUUGAAAAGGAAAAAAUGACCAAUCUAUGUGGGCAAAGGUCUUACCCAUUAAUUUUUUUCAUCUUUCCUUUGUUUUCGUUGAUUUUUCCUAUGUUUUCCCCAAUUUUUCCUUUGGUUUUUCUAUCCUCAAGAGUUUCGACCUAGUGGAGGCUUGGUAAGG
rnacentral:lncRNA from 1 species